ensembl:lncRNA
GCUUCCUGGAGACAGGCAGAGGGAAAGGCCCCCUCCUUUCAAAGGGAGAUGUGAACCUUCCCCCGCAGGGAGCAGCAGUGGGGGGACCUGAGCUGCUCUCUGUGGGUCCAUCCCUGAGCUGCUGUGUGUGGGUCCAUCCCUGUGCCUGUCGGACCAUGGGGUUGCAGGGAGCAGGAUGGAUCCUGGCUGCACCGCUUCCCAGCAGCCCUCUCCUUCUGUCGUAUCCAUUUCGCAGAAGGGAUGUGUGGACCCCUGGGAUGUGGGUCGCUGCCAUCCCUGCGUCCUUCUGCCCUCCAAGUGACAUUCUGGGAGACCCGGGAGCUGUGAAAUCUCGGGAGCUCCAUCCAUCCAUUACCGCCCCGAUGAGCUCUGCAGAGAUUUAUGAUGGGUUUUACCACCCGUGGGAGCUGCAGUGUCACAUCUCCAUCCCUUAACUCAUCCCCGGGCUGAGAUUUACAGCCCUGCAUUGUCAGUCAGCGCUGCUGGUGUGGGAUUGGGCAGCAGGGAAAGGUCAGAGCCACAGAACCGCAGAGCCAUUGGGGUUGGGGGAGACCUCUGGGAUCACCGAGUCCCACCCAACCCCCACAGGGACCCCUCAGCCCCCAGGAGCCCCCCGGGACCCCCAUUGUCAGCAAUGCCCCACACUGGGGCAGCUCCGUGGAGAUGGACAUCCCACAUGGGAUGGUUCCCAUACACCUCUGGGCAUGGGCUGUUCUCAUGGUGCUUUGUGCUGCCCGACUGCUCCCCAGUGCUCCCUCAGUCCUUCCCAGUGCUCCCCAGUGCUCCCCCAUUGCUCUCCUAUUGUUCUCCCAGUGCUCCCCAGUGCUUCUCAGUGCUCCUCCAUGCUCCCCCAUUGCUCUCCCAUUGCUCUCCCAGUGCUCCCCGGUGCUUUUUCCCAGGCCUCUCACCCCACAGGUCCCCACUGUGGCACACCCUGUCCCGCUGUGCCCACGCCGUGCUGCUGGAGGACACGCGGUUCCACCCAUGACCCAGACAGCUCUGCAUGCCAUGAGCUCGGUGCCGUCUGGCUCCCAGCGCGUGUGAAUAAUGCAUGGUGCUGCUCUGCCCGCAGCCCUGCUGUGUGUCUCAGUGCUGAUGCAGAAGGACGGCCAUCAUUUCUAAAUGGGUGAUUCAGAAGGGAGCAUUCCUC